GACGAACGCUGGCGGCGUGCCUAAUACAUGCAAGUCGAAAGCAGUGGGGACGGGUGAGUAACACGUGGGUAACCUCCCAUCAGAGGGGAUAACAAUUGGAAACAGGUGCUAAACCGAUACUGAUGGAUGAACCAGCGGUGCAUUAGCUAGUUGGUGAGGUAACGGCUCACCACGGCCACGAUGCAUAGCCGACCUGAGAGGUUGGUCGGCCAAACUGGCACUGAGACACGGCCCAGACUCCUACGGGAGGCAGCAGUAGGAAAUCUUCGGCAAUGGACGAAAGUCUGACCGAGCAACGCCGCGUGAGUGAAGAAGGUUUUCGGAUCGUAAAACUCUGUUGGUAGAGAAGCGGUAUCUAACCAGAAAGCCACGGCUAACUACGUGCCAGCAGCCGCGGUAAUUC
rnacentral:rRNA from 1 species